rnacentral:lncRNA from 1 species
GUAUCUCUACAGGUCUUUCAUGAGGUCUAGUAGGGGUAGAGAGAGGUGUUUACUAUCACUCGGCUUUCCCCAAUCAGAUACAUUUAAUUAACUUGUCCAGGGUCAUAAACAAAAGUAGCAAAGCUAAAGCCGUGCAGUGGUGGUGCAGGGGAUUAGUCCCAGCACAUGGUGGCAGAGCCAGUCGGGUCUCCAAGUUCGAGGCUAGCCUGGUCUACAGAAUGAGCUCCGCAGGACAGCCAGGGCUACACGGGUUUACAACUGUAAUUUUGCCAUUUUUGUGCCACACUUUAACAAAAAUGUAUAGAAAGUGACUACAAACAAGAUAAAGGAAGGGGGGAAAGGUAAGCACAGGCAAUUCAUAAAAAAAAUAUAGCCAAUGAAUGCAAAACUAUGCUCACCUUUGGGAGUCAGGAUGACACAGAGCCAUCUAAUAGAUUAGAACAAGCAUGAAGUUUGGUAGCAAGUAUCGAGAGAGUGGAAACGUGGACUGCCAGAGGUAGUAUACAGCCUGUUUUGCCUUCUCAUUUCCGUGUGUGUGUGUGUGCAUAUUUGCAUGUGUGGGCAUGCAUCUAUGUGUGCAUGUGGAAGUCCUAGGUUGAUGGUGGGAAUCAUCUUCCAUGCCUCUUUCACCUCAUUCAAGGAGUUAGGGUCUCUCAGAAACAAAGAGCUGGCCCAUAUGGUUAGUCUUUCUAAGCAGCUGGCUCGGGGGAUGCGGGCCUUCCCCCGCACCUGGAAUUAUACACGGUGUUUAAGCGUUUUUGUGAAUUCUCCUGUUUGUACCACCAUCUCCCCUGCUCUGUAGUAAAUGACAGCAUUUACAAUACCGUUCUCUGAACUGUAGUUUCCCAUUUGAGAACCUGACUGACAGCUGUCAUCUCACAGCAGCAUGAAGAAAACAUUACCACCAAACUCUCCAGAACAACUAGCUGUAUUCAAUCAACUAGGCUGUUUUCUGGGAAACCCUAUGAGAAGAUAUGUAGCUGGUCUGAGCUACUUUGUGGAUUCUUUUCCCAUGCUUUAUUCUCCCAGUUUCAUCCUCUACCUCUAGAUAGGAGAAGAACAAUGAUAGAGGAGAGAAAAAGAGAUACAGACCCCAAUCUUAUUUUCUCUGUGAGCACAACUAUGCCACCCUGUCUCCACUCUUUAGCAUUUAUAUACCAUCUGAAAAGUUGAUUUCAAAUAUCAUACAAUCACAGAAAUUAUCCACAGGUAGCAAAACCACGCCUCUGCUAGGGCAAGAGGCAAAUCAGAGUCAGCAGCCGCUGUCAUAGUUGGAUGGUCUGAAGCAGCCCCAUAUCCCCGCAUCUGGGAUUCAAGCAAAAACAUUUGUUUGUCUGUUUUUUUAAAAACAAACAAAAACAAAAAAAACAAAACUCCAGAAUUCUCCCUACAAAGAUACUGUGAGCUCAUGAAAGAGGCAUACUUCCCAGAGUGCCGGUGGACUCUGCAUCUCAGUGGCUAAGCUAAAUCCAUGAGAGAGAAUGUAUCUGUCCGUAUUUAUGGCAAUUGUUACGCCGUUACAAUGUAACUACAAAAACUAAUGUAUGGACUGUUAAGUUUUUUGUUUUGUUUUGUUUUGUUUUGUUUUGUUUUUUGAUUUAUUUAUGUGUAUGAGUCUUUGCCUGGGUGUAUUUAUGUGCACCAUUUGUGUGUCUGGUACCAGAGGAGGUCAGAAGAGGUUGUGGAGCACCAUGGAACUAGAGGUUUGGAUAGUUGUGAGCCUGUGCUGGGAACCAAACCCCAGUGCUCUGGAAGAACGUGUGCUCCAAACUGCCUGCUGAGCCAUCCCACCAGCAUCCAGUGUACGGCUUUAGAGGGUGUGUGUUGUAGACAUUUUUACCACACCUGAAAGGUAUGUCUAAAUACAGAGUAAAUGAAAUAAACUAAAGAAGUCUUUCCCAGGGCUGGAGAGGUGGCUCAGCUGUUAAGAGCACUGACUCCUCUUCCAGAGAUCCUGAGUUCAAUUCCCAGCGACCACAUGGUGGUUCACAACCAUCUGUAAUGGAAUCAGAUGCCCUCUUCUGGUCUGUCUGAAGAUAGCUGCAGUGUACUCAUAUACAUAAAAUAAAUAAAUUAAAAAAAAAAAGUCUUUCCCAAUCCUAGCGAUAUGUAAGUGGUGUGUGUGGACAUUUCUCGCUGGGCUGGUGAGAAUAGGAGUGUGUAGUACAGGAAAAGCUGAGGUAGGACUGCCAAGAAUUCGAGGCCUGCCUGAAUGAUACCGUGUGUGUGUUUAUAUGAAUGUAUAUGAAUAUAUGCAUGUAUAUGAACAAAUAUAUAUUAACAAAUAUAUAUGAACAAAUAAGUUAUGGUUUGCCUCUAUUAACUAAGGUUUGAGAGUCGCAGAAAACACAUAAAAACAAAAUCUUUUUAUUAUUAUCCUCAUAAAAUAACGGCAUGAGAAAUUUUUU